rnacentral:lncRNA from 1 species
GUAAUUAUGAAUUUGACUUCAUAUUCAUUAAUUUAUGUAUUCAAUAAAAGUAUUAGCUACUAUAUAGCAAGCAUUAUUCUAGACACUGUAACUAUAGCAGUGAACAAAGAGUUCAUGUUUUCAUUGAGCUCAUAUUGUUGGUGUGAAAGGGAUGACAGAUAAUAAAGUAAUGAAAAAUAGUAUGUAGAUAGUGAUAGAACCCAUUAAAAAUAAAGCAAGGAAAGAUUCGAGUAAGAUAGGGUGGUCAGGGAAGAUUCUUUAAUAAGAUGACAUUGAAGAAGAGACUUCAAUUAAGUGGAUGAUAGAUCCAGACAGUUAUGUGAAGGAAGAGUCUCCCAAACAAGGAGAAGCAAGUGCAAAUGCCCAUGGCAGUGUGGGCUUAGCUUACAGACAAGUAAAAAGAGAAUGGGCAAGCUAGGUUUCAGGGGUAAAUAAGGGAGUAUAAAUCUCAGGGAGUAUAAAAGGCCACAGUAAGUGAAUUGUGUUACACAAUUGAUGCUAAGAAUCAGAAUAUACCACCCUGAAAUAUGUGUGUGUGGUGUGUGUGUGUGUGUGUGUGUGUGAGAGAGAGAGAGAGAGAGAGAGAGAGAGAGAGAUUUCCCUUUUUCACAUAUCAAGAGAAGGAAAACAGCUAU